AAGUCGUAACAAGGUUUCCGUAGGUGAACCUGCGGAAGGAUCAUUAGCGAGGUUUUCUCUCCGGCUCGCUGGAGACCCUCCACCCUUUGUGUAUUGACCUGUUGCUUCGGCGGGACGUCUGCUCUCGAGCGGCCGUCGGCUAACGCGGGCGUGCUCCCGCCGAAGGCUUUUUGACUCUUGUCUAUUCUGUCGUCUGAAUCUUCAAAAUAAAACAAAAUAAAA
rnacentral:misc_RNA from 1 species